rnacentral:rRNA from 1 species
AGUGAACGCUGGCGGUAGGCCUAACACAUGCAAGUCGAACGGCAGCACAGUAAGAGCUUGCUCUUACGGGUGGCGAGUGGCGGACGGGUGAGGAAUACAUCGGAAUCUACUUUUUCGUGGGGGAUAACGUAGGGAAACUUACGCUAAUACCGCAUACGACCUACGGGUGAAAGCAGGGGAUCUUCGGACCUUGCGCGAUUGAAUGAGCCGAUGUCGGAUUAGCUAGUUGGCGGGGUAAAGGCCCACCAAGGCGACGAUCCGUAGCUGGUCUGAGAGGCUGAUCAGCCACACGGGAACUGAGACACGGUCCAGGCUCCUACGGGAGGCAGCAGUGGGGAAUAUUGGGCAAUGGGCGCAAGCCUGGUCCAGCCAUACCGCGUGGGUUGCGAAGGCGUUCGGGUUGUGAAGCCCUUUUGUUGGGAGAGAAAAGCAGCAGGUUAAUACGCCGCUGUUCUGACGGUACCCAAAGAAUAAGCACCGGCUAACUUCGUG